rnacentral:lncRNA from 1 species
AGGAUCUCGGCCCUCAAGGGGCCUUCUGGUGUUUCAGACUUUUCUCAGCUUGGUCAGACCUAGUCUUUCUCCCCAGAAUCUGAUUUUCCCUCGGGUGAACUCAGAAGAUAGUUUUUGCCCCUGCAAAGUGGAACAUUGGAACUUUGGUGACUUCAGCAAGGUUCAUUCUUACUGGAGCAAGUAUUUAUAACAUAUGGACAGUGAAUUAAAAGUUCAGAGAAGAGUAGCCUUCAGGAGCAAUGUAACCAUCAGCUCAAUAAUACCUUCAAGGGUUUUUCUCUCUGCCAUCCUCAGUGUGUUGACUUCAUUCUAAGGAAGAGAAGGAUAAAAAUGACUGCAAACUACUUCAUGGAGAGCUUUUUGUUUAAAGGCUGACGACAAAUACCAGAGUCACAAGGUCCAGCAAACCUCCCUCAGAAGCAGUUGAGCUUCUUGAGGACAGGGAACUUUUUUUCUUCUUUGAAUCAGCAGUAUCUUAUUUGUAUUUCUGUAAUACAGUUCCUGGCCUAGAAAAAGGUCUCAAAAAAUGCUGUACAUUUAUUAAUGUUAUUAGGCAGAUUGCAAUCUUGGCAGGCCUCUUAAAUCUCUUCUCUGUGAUCCUUUCCAUACUCGGCAUGGAAAAGGCCGCCGCUGUUUGCUCUGGGAUAAGUACCCAAGGCAUUUACUUAAAAAUACCCAAGACUAGAGAAAUAAUUCUCCUGUCUUUAGGGCACCAUUUCGACUUUCCACGGCACUGCGCCCCAGGGCUUGGGAUCUGGGUCUGGAGGCGACAGGGAAGAGUUCUCUACGGGAAGCUCAUCCUCCGGCGUGUGAUUGGUCGGCUCACACUCCACUCACGCGGCUCGGGCCUCUGAUUGGCCCCCGUAGCACCCCCCCACCCCCCCC